GCCAGGCAUGAUGGUUCGUGCCUGUAUUCCCAGCUACUUAGGAGGCUGAGGUGGCAGGACUGCUUGAGCCCAGGAGUUCUGAGCUGCAGUGUGCUAUGCUGAUCGAGUGUCCACACUAAGUUCCGCAUCAACAUGGUGUCCUCCCAGGAGCCAGGGACCACCAGGUUGCCUAAGGAGGGGUGAACCGGCCCAGGUCGGAAACGGAGCAGGUCAAAACUCCAGUGCUGAUCAGUAGUGGGAUCACGCCUGCGAACAGCCACUGGGCAACAUAGCGAGACCCCAUCUCUU
ensembl:misc_RNA Metazoa_SRP Metazoan signal recognition particle RNA